ACGCACGCUGGCGGCGUGCUUAACACAUGCAAGUCGAACGGAAAGGCCCUGCUUUUGUGGGGUGCUCGUGUGGCGAACGGGUGAGUAACACGUGAGUAACCUGCCCUUGACUUUGGGAUAACUUCAGGAAACUGGGGCUAAUACCGGAUAGGAGCUCCUGCUGCAUGGUGGGGGUUGGAAAGUUUCGGCGGUUGGGGAUGGACUCGCUGCUUAUCCGCUUGUUUGUGGGGUAGUGGUUUACCAAGGCUUUGACGGGUAGCCGGCCUGAGAGGGUGACCGGGCACAUUGGGACUGAGAUACGGCCCAGACUCCUACGGGAGGCAGCAGUGGGGAAUAUUGCACAAUGGGCGGAAGCCUGAUGCAGCAACGCCGCGUGCGGGAUGACGGCCUUCGGGUUGUAAACCGCUUUCGCCUGUGACGAAGCGUGAGUGACGGUAAUGGGUAAAGAAGCACCGGCUAACUACGUG
rnacentral:rRNA from 1 species